AUGCAGAACAGAUCGCAGCUGCAAACACGCGUCCUCUUCUAAAGCAAAAAAACCACUCUCUCCAACUCUGUAUUCAGCGGAACUCUAACCCCUCCCACCCUUCGCCCCAACACCCAGGAAAAAAAAGAACCUGGGCUCCUAAAUACUGUGGAAGCCAUUGAUAAGAGUUCCCAAAAGAAAAAAAACCUAGAUAAUUCUCCCCGUUUUUUGAAUUUUCAGGCGAGGACAAUGUCGAGGGUUUACGUAGGGAAUUUGGAUCCUCGAAUUACCGAAAGAGACCUUGAGGAUGAGUUUCGUAUCUACGGAGUUCUCAAGAGUGUUUGGGUUGCAAGACGACCUCCAGGUUAUGCAUUCAUUGAGUUCGAUGAUCGUAGGGAUGCUCUAGAUGCUGUUCGCGAUCUAGAUGGGAAAAAUGGUUGGCGUGUGGAGCUCUCACACAAUUCAAGUGGUCGUGGUGGAGGCCGUGGUGGUCGUGGUCUUGGCGGUGAUGAUAGGAAAUGUUAUGAAUGUGGUGAGCCUGGUCAUUUUGCUCGAGAGUGCCGCUUGCGCAUUGGUCCACGUGGACUUGGAAGUGGGCGACGUCGAAGUCCCAGUCCUCAGUAUCAUAGCAGUCCCAGUUAUGGGAGGAGGAGUUACAACCCUCGUGGAAAAUCUCCCCGAGGUUGCAGCCUAUCUCCUUGUCGUGGACGCAUCUUCAGCAGGUCACCUCCUUACCACCGGGGGCGCUAUGAGUCACCUUAUGCUAAAGGUUUAUCACCUCGCCGUGGUCGUGGUAGCUACAGCAGGUCCCCAGCAUAUCGUCGUCAUGAUUCUCCUUAUACAAAUGGAGCUUGAUACUGGUCUGAGCAGGAAAUACAAUUGAGGAUCUUCAUUUGUAGUCUGAUAGGGUUGAAAAAGAGUAGCAUUAUGUAGUUUGUUUCCGUGAUAAUUGGUGUGUUGAACUGGAUUAUGGGAGGCUUCUGCUCUCUUUAGCCAACUCCAGACUUCGUUUUUGUAUGGCUCACUCAGUUCAGCAACUUUGGAGGUUUUCUUCUUCUGAGGUAUGAUUUUCGGCUGAGACUGCAUCAUUGCUCUCCAUGCUUCGUUAGUUGACCUCAAUUAGCUCCACCACUUCUCUACAUCAAAUUGUCAUCUUACAAGUUUGAUUUCCUAUUGAGAACUGCAAAAUCGCCAAGUGCCUCCUACUGCAAUGAAGCUUAGGUAGUGUUUAUUUCCUUCUCUGCGUACCAGUGCACAAUGAAGCUGUUUUGCCGUCUUGCCCUCAAUCUUCGUUUGGCAGCUUAAACUGCUCCGUUCUGCAGAGUCUUUGUACAUCCGUUUCAUUUUCUUCUCUGCCUAGCUCUUUUUGGCACGUCAAUUUUCGGGUACACAUUUCGUGAGGAAAUUCCUUGCUUUCAUUGAUGGAUCUUCCGUAUGGUUGCUCACAGAAGUAAUCCAUGUUCUGCAUUAUACCUCCUGUGUUUGUAGCAGUAGAUAUUGUUUUGUUGAAACGUGGCUGCGAGGAUUGUAAAUGUAUCUUUGAUUUUGUCAUGUAAUUAACUUGGCCUUAAACUUGUGAUGGAUCAGUAUAAAUUUGAUGUUGUUGCCUACUUAUAAA